CCCUACUAACGCCUAAGCCAGUGUUAAACAGAAGUUGUAGCCGUCCUCUUCCCUCUCUCCCUGGUCUGAUGGAUUAGAGGUUAUGCCUACUAACUCUAGCCAGUGUUAAACGAGUUGUGGCCUUCUCUCUCUCCUCCCUGGUCUGAAUAGGUUUGGAUUAGAGUUAUUCCUACGUAACCUUAGCCAGUGGUAAACAGAGUUGUAGCCAGCUCUCGGCUCGCUCUUCUCCCUGGUCUGAUAGUUGGAUUAGAGGUUAUUCCUACUAACUCUAGCCAGUGUUAAACAGAGUUGUAGACUCUCUCUCUCCUUUCUCGCCUGACGUCCCUGAAUUAGUUGAUUAAGGUUAUGUCCUACUAACCUAGCCAGUGGUUA
rnacentral:lncRNA from 1 species